CGCGUGCACUGGUUCGGCCGGGCCUUUCCCUCUGGGGAGCCGCAUGCCCUUCACUGGGUGUGUCGGGGAACCAGGACUUUUACUUUGAACAAAUUAGAUCGCUUAAAGAAGGCCUAUGCUCGAAUACAUUAGCAUGGAAUAUAGAUAGACGCGUGGUUCUAUUUUGUUGGUUUCUAGGACCGCCGUAAUGAUUAUAGGGACAGUCGGGGGCAUCAGUAUUCAAUUGUCAGAGGUGAAAUUCUUGGAUUUAUUGAAGACUAACUACUGCGAAAGCAUUUGCCAAGGAUGUUUUCAUUAAUCAGGAACGAAAGUUAGGGGAUCGAAGACGAUCAGAUACCGUCGUAGUCUUAACCAUAAACUAUGCCGACUAGGGAUCGGACGAUGUUAUAUUUUGACUCGUUCGGCACCUUACACGAAAGUAAAGUUUCUGGGUUCUGGGGGGAGUAUGGUCGCAAGGCUGAAACUUAAAGAAAUUGACGGAAGGGCACCACCAGGGGUGGAGCCUGCGGCUUAAUUUGACUCAACACGGGGAAACUCACCAGGUCCAGACACAAGUAGGAUUGACAGAUUGAGAGCUCUUUCUUGAUUUUGUGGGUGGUGGUGCAUGGCCGUUCUUAGUUGGUGGAGUGAUUUGUCUGCUUAAUUGCGAUAACGAACGAGACCUUAACCUGCUAAAUAGCCCGCAUUGCUUUGGCAGUGCGCCGGCUUCUUAGAGGGACUAUCGG
rnacentral:rRNA from 1 species